GACGAACGCUGGCGGCGUGCCUAAUACAUGCAAGUAGAACGCUGAAGGAGGAGCUUGCUUCUCUGGAUGAGUUGCGAACGGGUGAGUAACGCGUAGGUAACCUGCCUGGUAGCGGGGGAUAACUAUUGGAAACGAUAGCUAAUACCGCAUAAGAGUAGAUGUUGCAUGACAUUUGCUUAAAAGGUGCAAUUGCAUCACUACCAGAUGGACCUGCGUUGUAUUAGCUAGUUGGUGGGGUAACGGCUUACCAAGGCGACGAUACAUAGCCGACCUGAGAGGGUGAUCGGCCACACUGGGACUGAGACACGGCCCAGACUCCUACGGGAGGCAGCAGUAGGGAAUCUUCGGCAAUAGACGGAAGUCUGACCGAGCAACGCCGCGGGAGUGAAGAAGGUUUUCGGAUCGUAAAGCUCUGUUGUAAGAGAAGAACGAGUGUGAGAGUGGAAAGUUCACACUGUGACGGUAUCUUACCAGAAAGGGACGGCUAACUACGUG
rnacentral:rRNA from 1 species